ACCACCCUGUUGUUACCCAAAGGGGCUGGCGGGGCUGGCAGGGAUGGUGGCAGGGGCCUGCAGCCAUGGGGAGGGCUGGUGGGGCCUGUGCUGGGCUUGGGUCUCUAAAAUCAAACACAAGCCCCUCCUUGACGUGUCCUGGGCACGUUCCCCACCACGUUCUGGCAGUGAGCAUCUCUGUACCUGGCUGUGCCCCCACCACCCUGCGUGGUCAUUUUGGGUGAAUUUAGCUGGAUAGCAGCAAAUCCUGAUACCUGCCUCCUUGUCUGGCUCGGGGGGUUGUAAUGACAUAUUUUUCUCAAGCACCUGAAGGAACUCCUGAGAUGGCUGUUCAGUGCUUCAGAAAACCAGGCCACGUCAUUCUGCGUGUAAACAUCGCCUCACUAACCUAAUUCUGGACCCAUUUUUGACAGCUGGCCUACACGAAAGCCCGUACUGUCAGCACGUCUCCUGGACUUCGAGUGAGCGCGGCAGAGGUGAGCCCCCGCAUCGGGGCAGCUCCCCCAGAUCUCACCACUCAUUGCAGGCGGAAACCUCGCUGUGCCAGGGCUUUGCAGCUCCAUGCCCUGCCUUGCUCCAGCACCAUACCCUCGGUGUGAUGUGCUGCAGCUGGGAACAGCUCCGUUUUUCACAAGGCAGAAGAAGGCAAGUGACAGGGAGCGGCACCGAUCUUCUUGCAUCCACCGCUGCAUCUCCAGGAUGUUUAGGUAAACACGGACAAAGAAAACCAUCCUCCUCGUCUGCAAAAUGGGGAUGAUGCUGAGCACCUCCAGCUGAAAAAGGUACCAAAGGAAUUUAAAUCCCGAAUUUAAAGCCGCACAACGAUGUUUUCCUUCGUUGGUAGAACUACUUCAGUUCCAGGUGACAUCCUCCAGGUGGAAGUGACUACAGAGAUCACUAUUUCAGUCUUGUGCUAAGCGCAGCUGUGAGCAGAACCUGCGUUUUAACAUGUUCCUGUAGUUCAGAUAAGAUGCAAAAGGCAUUUGCUGUGCUCAUCCCUGCUUCAGGAUCCCUGCCUCCAAGCGGACAGAUUUCUCAGGUAUUCAGGCCAGUUAUCUUCAAUUUUUAGUACUCAUAGUCAAAGUCAGAUUCCCAGAUACGUCCUUUUCUGUUGGGAAAACUAAUAAUUAGGAGUGUUUUGUAAGAGGCAGCUCUGUACAACACCUUACAGGGAGACUCAAAAAGGCUCCAUGUCCUGUGUGACCGUGUCCCCUGAGUUCCUCGGGCUAACUCCAUUUGCUCGUGAAUCCUUCAGGAAAUGGAAAUGCUGCUGCUGCCAGAGAGAUUUCUGUAAAUGGUUUAUGGAAGGCUGCUGGCGCCCAGGUGUGACUGCGCUCAUACAUUUCCUCUGAGGACCAGAUGCAGAGCACAAAGUUGGUCCAACAGAGACUUGCUGAGUCUUAGGAUUCAUGGAUGGGUCUCUGGCCACAUUGUCUUGAUGGUUGCAAGGUCUUCGUAAUUCCUGGGUUACUGAUGACUGCGUGCAUCUCGUUUAAUUUCACCAACCUCCUCUCUUAAAUACUGUGACACCUCCUAAUGCACAAGGGCAUUCGCUUUCAUCGCUCGCUCUUCAACAUAAGGUAAACACUGUGCUGAUCCACUUAAAAUAUAAAUAAGUGCUGCGUGCACUCUGUGGGGCGUGGAACAGAUGUUUGAAAGCACAGCUGUGAGACGCUCUUAUUUUUAGUCACUCUCAGCUUUUUAGAGCCUAAUAUCUCUCCCCGGUUAUGUUACAGCAUGCCUUCCAUCCCCAGAAGCUCCUCUUCGGCUGCUGCCCUGCACCAGGAGGGAGCCCUGUCCCGUUCCUGGCUUUGGCUCACCUCGCUGCCCGAGGAGCUGGGCUGAUGGGCUGGUGGGCAGCAGGAAGACUGGUCGUUGGCACAGGUUUGAGAUGUUGAAGCUAAAGCAAAGCAAAGCAAACCUUGAAUCAACCAGAGGAUCCUUAUGGGCACGUGGAGUCCUGUGCUGAAGUCAGUGCAGAUGUCUGGGCUGUUGGCGGAAGGCAUUUUCAUUCAAUGAACCAUAUGGAAGCCAAUGAAAAAGGUGUUGAUGUGCAGCGUGGAUGCUGAUUGAUAAAGCUGGCAGAUGGGGAGAUCAUCGGCUUUGAAGACUGUGAGGUUUCCUUUGAAACUAAGUAAAUAAGAUGGGCAGAACUAGAUGGCAAUGAGGAUGUGCAGCAUGGCUUCUUCCCUGCAUCAUCACCAAUUGCUCAGAAACCUAACAAAUUCAGAGUCAAAGAUGAAAAGUGAAAAACCCGUGAAGAUCAGACGGAGGGAUGGAAAUUAUCAUUCAGGUAACCCAGCUACCUUAACGCUGUCACCAUGGAGACCCCCGAUUAUCUCCUGCUCUUUGCAUGCAAAGUGCUGAGAAACACUGGUUUCAUAAUUGGCAUCAUAUUUCUCCGGGUAUAUUAAGCUUGCUUGUGGAAUGAGGCUCAUCAGGUUCUGAAUGAUUUCAGAUAACUAGCUGUAAUAUAUGGAAUCAGGUGAUUUGGCAUUCUGGUUUCCAAUCCAGGCAUUAUUCGAUGUGUGUCCAUGCCCAGUGCAAGCACGGGGAUCACCGUGGUGGUGCUAGGGGUGAAGCUGAGGCUCGGGGUCUCGGGCUGCUGAGAAGAUAGCAGCGGGUUUGGGGGAUGGCUCAAGUGGUACAACAGCCUGCUGGGGCUUUCUGUACAUUCCUUGUG